rnacentral:rRNA from 1 species
GCAGUCGACGGUAACGGAAGAAGCUUGCUUCUUUGCUGACGAGUGGCGGACGGGUGAGUAAUGCUUGGGAAUCUGGCUCAUGGAGGGGGAUAACUACGGGAAACUGUAGCUAAUACCGCGUAGUAUCGGAAGAUGAAAGUGUGGGACCGCAAGGCCACAUGCCAUGAGAUGAGCCCAAGUGGGAUUAGGUAGUUGGUUAGGUAAAGGCUGACCAAGCCGACGAUCUCUAGCUGGUCUGAGAGGAUGACCAGCCACACUGGAACUGAGACACGGUCCAGACUCCUACGGGAGGCAGCAGUGGGGAAUAUUGCACAAUGGGGGAAACCCUGAUGCAGCCAUGCCGCGUGAAUGAAGAAGGCCUUCGGGUUGUAAAGUUCUUUCGGUGAUGAGGAAGGUGUUUGUUUUAAUAGGACAAGCAAUUGACGUUAGUCACAGAAGAAGCACCGGCUAACUCCGUGCCAGCAGCCGCGGUAAUACGGAGGGUGCGAGCGUUAAUCGGAAUAACUGGGCGUAAAGGGCACGCAGGCGGUGACUUAAGUGAGAUGUGAAAGCCCCGAGCUUAACUUGGGAAUUGCAUUUCAUACUGGGUCGCUAGAGUACUUUAGGGAGGGGU